UGAGCAGCGGCGGCGCCGCGCCGCCUGGUAGUGCGCACGCGCAGUUCGCGGCGCUCCGCAAGUGUGUGGGGGUGUGGGGCGGAGCGCUGAGGUGGCGGUGCUGCUGGGCUCGUUUGUUCUUUCGUCUGUCCGUUCUUCCUUAGUAACAAGCCGCGGGUUCUGGGUUAGAGGUUCCUUGGGGGCGGCCGCCUUCCACAGAGCGAGCCUGAGGCACCCGCUGCCUUUCUGCUCUACUGGCUCGGUCCUUUACGGUGUUGCCUUGUAUGUGUGGCUUUGUCUCCUGUUGACUCCCGCGGUGACCUGCUGGUCGCAGGCAGGCUGCACGUACAAAAACGCACCUCACACGUGUGCCACGCUUUGUUUCUAAGCAGUCCUGGUGUCCGGAAAGCUCCAUUUGCUUCAGUGCAAGCAACCUGCUCUAGCGGGAAGUACUCCUGCCCAUAGCAGGGGUUGCAACUGGUGGUCUUCAAGUCCCCCCCAGCCCAAACGAGAGAGGAGGCUCAGGGGAGGUCUUAACACUCUCUAUGAAGACCUGAGAGGAGGUCCUUUCAAGCUGGGGGUUGCCCUCUUCUCCCAGCAGAAAAGGACAGCUGUUUACUGUGACCUCUGUCCAGCAAAGGCCCACAUACUUAGCAAGAGUUAACUCCUCCUUGUUAUGAGGAGUAAAAUGUGAGAAAAGUCAAGAAGUGUAAAUCUUCAAAGGAUAAUGUGCAGUUAGAUGCCAUUUGGCAUGAUGAAGAAUAUCACACUGCAGCCCGGAGAGGCAGUGACAUUAUUCAGGAAGCCUUGAGAAUCAAUAUUUCCUGUCUCCUACUCCUGUGCUGCCUUUACGGAUAGACAAGACACUUUUAACAAUUGCCCUGCCUGAAGCUCAGCUGCACAGUCCACCAGGCUGCUUGCAUAAGACACCUUCCUUGGUGCCAUCCAUCCUCUGUGUUCAGGCCCGUUUUGGUACAGAAACAUAUUGAGACAGUCUGCAAUCCAUGAAGAUGAGAAAAGGAGAGUAUGGAAGCAGAAUGCUCUGUGGGAGUUCAUGAUGGAGAAGACUAGAAUCAUGUGGAAGCAGCCUAACUAUGCUCCCUAAAGGGCCAGCUCAUUGUUACAUGUAGCAUCUGACUACAUCCAUGCCUUUUUUGCAAGUAGUCCAAAGCAUGUCUAACUCAACAUAGGCUGCAGGAGAGUGUGCUUAAAAGUCCAUUAUAUCUCAACUAUAACAAUAGGCAAGUACAUUUUAAGUGCUAUGAAGUUCUCUAGUCAAACAGUAGCCAACGGUAGGGAUGCUUAUUUCAGGAUGCGUUUGGUCACCCCCACAACCUUGUGCCAAAGACUGGCAUCAGUAGCAGAGAUUCUGGCACAUAGUAGCUUGCUAAAUGUGUCAAGAGAAAGACUGAAGGAUGGUAUGGCUUUGGAAGCUGGCUCUUAUGAGACUGCUAUGCAUCAGAAAGCAAGCAUCUAUCUGCCUUGGGUCAUUAUCUUUGCGAGGCUGUCAGUAUGACCUCAGCUAAUGGCAAUCCUCUCAGGGCUAGUUUGCAAGCAAUAAACCCUGUCUCUCAUAUUACAGUUUUCAUCCUUAGUUCUUAAAGUGCUUUAUGAGAGCAUUAUGAUUUUUCACAAAACCACAGCCUGUGAAAUUACGUCAAUUUUUUAAAAUGAUUUUUGUUUUAUAAUUAUGUCUUCCUUAAUAAUUAAAAAUGUGAAGGCACAGUUGUAUAUACCUGAAUGACUGGUAUGAAUUUAGAAUUAACAACAUCCCUGCAACAUCCUAUUCUUUGAAGCCUGACCAAAUCAGAGCUGUGGAAAUGUGCAAUUACCCAGCUGUUGUUUAAGAAUAAGAAAAAAAAAAGGAGUGCCAUGAUAUGAACAAUUUCUGUGUGGUGUUACAUAAGGGAAGCUGUUCUGUCCUGUGGAAAUACAGGGAAGAUCCUGUGCUUCUGCCCCAGUCAUGUUUCUGCAAGAGAUAACGUUCCACAAUAUGAUCUGCCAAACAGAAAUGGACUCUGGGCAGUGAGACCCAAGCAGAGAGAACUGCUGUGCAUGAGAUAAGGAAAUGAGCUGCAAAGCACUGAAAAAAAUGCAAAAAUAAAAACAAGCCAUUACCACCAUAUUACUAUCAUCUUUUGUGACUUUAUUCUCUGAGUCAAUUAAGGCUGAAAGUAGACAAGAAAGUAAGACUGUGUUGGACAGCUCUGCCCUCCCUUGCAGUCCUUCUGCAUCUACAGCUGUACCACGGCUAAUGGUACACUCCUGGGAAGAAUUUUUCUGGUACCUUUAUCUUCUUCUAGGAAAUCUAUAGGUUAUUCUAUGGAGUAGGAUUUUUGUACUGCAUAGGCACAACAGUGCAGUUGUACAGAGCCCUAGAUAAUCUUGAAAAAACAAUGGCAUUUGGUCCUGUUCAGAUAGUAAAAAUAUGGAAACAGGUUUUAACAACAAAGUUUGAAAUGACAAAUGUUGUGUUUUGUUUUGUUUUUAAAUUAAGUCUACUUUUACCAAUAGAUUAUAGUGAGGAGGGGAACAGACAAAAAAGUCUGAGAUAAAGCUGGCAGUAUUUCUUCUUAGGAAAAGAUGGAAGUUAGAGAGUUUGUGGGUUUUUUUCUAAGACAAAAGAAAAGGGAACUUGCAGUUCUGGGAAUUGUGUCAAUUUUUUUAACAUUAGCAUCUCAAAAGAGAAGAAACUGCUAUCUGCUUCAGAGAGUUAUUAUUUAAUAUUUGGAUGGUGAUGGCGAUAAACAAUUUCAAAUACGAAUAGAUCACAGCUGCCCUAGGGAUUACAUGAAUGCAGAAUUGAGUCAAUCCUCGACCUUGAAAGCAUACAAAGUAGGAGGCCGAUCACCCAGCGAAUGUGAACAAACAAACAAGUGGGUGUCAAAUUUGGAAAUGACUGCUCGAAUACAGAUUUGCAGAAGUUAGGUGAAUCAUUUCAUUAUUUAACCAGCUAUUUGCAAAGAAUGAAUUAUAACAUGCAGGCAAAUAAUUACAUGUUAAAAAUCUUUGCAAUCCAUCUAUUUUGUUAAUCAGUUUCCUUGGGUUCUCUUUUAGUCCCAAGAUGUCAUUCUGUGAAAGCUGAGAAACUCCUUUUCAUAUCAAGAACAUAGAAACCCAACACACAAAGCUGCUUAGAAAAGUUGCUUCCAUCUCCAAAUUUGAAAUGGAUAUAGCAUAGAAAGACAAAUAAACGUCAAGCAACAAUUACAGAUUGACUGAAAUUAUUUUUCCUUCUGGAUGGAGUGGUGCAGAGAUGUGUACAGACAGAAUCUCGCAGACAUGCCCUUGCUACAAAGAAGACUGAUGUUAUCCUAGGCUUUGUUAGUCAGAAUCUCACCAACGGGUCAACGGAGGUGAUCUUUCCACUCAGGACAAGUGAUGCUACACAUGGAGCCCCGUGUCCACUUCUGGGCUCUACAGUACAAGAAAGACGUGGACUUGCUAGAGACAGUCCAAUGAAUGGCCAGAAAAAAACUAAGGGACUGUAACACCUGUUCUAUGAGGAAAGGCUGAGAGAGCUGGGACUGUUCAGCCUGUAUAAGAAAAGGCUCAGGGUGGAUACGUGAUGAGAUGGUGCAAAGAAGACAAAGCCAUUGGUACCCAGGGAUAGGACAAGAGUUAAUGUGCACAAACUGGAAUGCAGGAUUCUCCCUUUGAUCAUCCCGUAAUGCUUUCUUACUGUGCGAGUGACUGAAGAAUAGAGCAGGCUGUCCAGAGAGGCAGCGUGGUCUCCUUGGAGAUCUCCAAAAGCCACCUGGGCAUAUGCCUGGGCACUCUGCUCUAGGUGGCACUGCUUGAGCACAGACUGGACCAGAUGGACCCAGAGGUCUCUGACAACUUCAGCCAUUCUGUAAUUCUGUAUUUACAAAGUAAACAAAAGCACAGGUCUGAAUAUUUUCCUUUGCUGUGUGUCCUUGUGUUACUCUUGUUCUGUUCCCUGAUACAGCUGAAUAGAUACAAAACCAUGUGAAUGCAAGUAUGAAUUGACUUCAGUAAUCUCAAGAGAAAUAUUCAUGUGAAUAAAACUACUAAUGAACAGCCUUCUAUGUAACCUUAUUCUCUUUUGUAAUUUCCACCUUUAGAAUUAUAGCCUAUGAUCAAGGUAGUUUCAGUAUCAAAUUUAUGUUUUGAAGUAAGGAGGAUUAGUAAUUUCCAGAUAAGUUUUACAGAAGCUAAUAAGAUUUGACCAAAUAAACUUUCAUUGCUGCCUUCCAAAGUUAAAUCAUAGUCUUACAUAAACAAUAAAUUCCCCCAGUGAAUACCUGUUAAAUGGAUUUGCAAAUUGUGUUGCAGCCCAAUAAACAAACAAACAAAAUUAAUAAACAAACCCUUGAAUGUUCUUGUUAUACAAAUUGUGAAUUCAUUCCUGGCAAACGCAAUACCUCCACAAAUCUCCAAGCCAUGUAAAAGCAGUGUGAACUUUUGAGUAUGAAACUUAUUCAUAGAAAAAAAAUGUGGUAAUUCUUAUGUGCGUAUUUUUACCUUG